rnacentral:rRNA from 1 species
GGGGUUUUGGGAAGAGCCUUUGUUCGGAUUAAGCUAGUUGGUGGAGGUAACGGCUUCACCAAGGCCGACGAUCCGGUAGCUGGUUUGAAAAGGAUGAUCAGCCACACUGGGAAUUGAGACACGGCCCAAGAUUCUUACGGGAGGCAACCAGUGGGGAAUUUUGGACAAUGGGGGAAACCCUGAUCCAGCCAUGCCGCGUGUGUGAAGAAGGCCUUCGGGUUGUAAAGCACUUUCAGCGAGGAAGAAGGCCUGGGGGCUAAUACCCUUCAGGAAGGACAUCACUCGCAGAAGAAGCACCGGCUAACUCCGUGCCAGCAGCCGCGGUAAUACGGAGGGUGCGAGCGUUAAUCGGAAUUACUGGGCGUAAAGCGCGCGUAGGUGGCUUGAUAAGCCGGUUGUGAAAGCCCCGGGCUCAACCUGGGAACGGCAUCCGGAACUGUCAGGCUAGAGUGCAGGAGAGGAAGGUAGAAUUCCCGGUGUAGCGGUGAAAUGCGUAGAGAUCGGGAGGAAUACCAGUGGCGAAGGCGGCCUUCUGGACUGACACUGACACUGAGGUGCGAAAGCGUGGGUAGCAAACAGGAUUAGAUACCCUGGUAGUCCACGCCGUAAACGAUGUCGACUAGCCGUUGGGGUCCUUGAGACCUUUGUGGCGCAGUUAACGCGAUAAGUCGACCGCCUGGGGAGUACGGCCGCAAGGUUAAAACUCAAAUGAAUUGACGGGGGCCCGCACAAGCGGUGGAGCAUGUGGUUUAAUUCGAUGCAACGCGAAGAACCUUACCUACCCUUGACAUCGUGCGAACUUUCCAGAGAUGGAUUGGUGCCUUCGGGAACGCACAGACAGGUGCUGCAUGGCUGUCGUCAGCUCGUGUUGUGAAAUGUUGGGUUAAGUCCCGUAACGAGCGCAACCCUUGUCCCUAUUUGCCAGCGAUUCGGUCGGGAACUCUAGGGAGACUGCCGGUGACAAACCGGAGGAAGGUGGGGACGACGUCAAGUCAUCAUGGCCCUUACGGGUAGGGCUACACACGUGCUACAAUGGUCGGUACAAAGGGUUGCAAUGCCGCGAGGUGGAGCUAAUCCCAUAAAGCCGGUCUCAGUCCGGAUCGGAGUCUGCAACUCGACUCCGUGAAGUCGGAAUCGCUAGUAAUCGUGAAUCAGAAGCCCCGUUGGGGUUUU